GGGAUAGUGAGUCUCAAUGCAAAGUUUAGGCACCACAGAACCUCAAGUACCCAAAAUUCCACCGAGGACAAUGCUUUCUGAUUAUAAGCUAACUGAUGAGGCAGAAGUCAGGGAAGCACUGAAUGGGUCCCCCGCUUCAGAAUGGCUUGCAAAUUCAUCCAACUAUGGCCACUACAGAGAUGAGUACAUAAGGUACCGCCACUAUGAGGACUUACGUGAAGCGGUACGUUAUACACAGAACACGUGUUCUGUACUUACACUUGCUGCAUGAAAUUCAUAUUAUUUUUCAACAAUCUAAAAUGAUACCUAAAUUCCACAGGAAAGAGAAGAUCGAAAUCUCGUAGGGGCCAAUAUAAGGGUAGGAAACAUCUCUCCUCAGCCAUGGUCAGUGCGAAUACCAUGCUGGGCAGCCGAAAAUGGAAGUAAACUUGUGCGGAUACCGCGUGGGCAAGAUAGUCUUGAUCUACCAUUACCUGCUGGUGUGACACAUGUAAGUAGCUUCCAUGGCGUGAUAUAUUCAUACAUUGUGAAUUUUCAUGUGGUGAUUGGUGUAAUUGCAUGUGCCUAAAUGUAGGUAACUGCUGAAGCUGCAACCGAGAUUUUGGAGCUGAAUGCUAGGUUGAAUGCCGUACUAUUUUCAACUUCAUUGGAAGCAAGCAUAGAGAUCAGUCGCCUACGGCAAGAGAUUGUGAGUCAGUUGAUGCUUCAUUUCAUACUGAUUUCAUAAAAUGAACAACCAUCACGGAUGUUAUAUUGAAAUAACAGACCAUGGUAUUGAACAUGAACGAUGUUAUAUUGUAAUAGGAGAAAUUGAAGAACACCUCGGGAACAACCAUUGCAAGUUCAGGUAUUGGUGAAGACGUCAUAGAUGAUGAUGCAGAACAUGUAAGUUUGUUACCUCCAUUGUAAAGUUCGAUUUAUAGGAUGUUAAAUAUUGCAAUUUCAAAUAAUAUGCUGACUGAUUCUGCAUUGCAAACCAUCAUCACAAAAUUGAACAAAAUAUAUGUCAAUGUUUCCCUGUAUGUAGGAGUUUCGCACAAAAUUUAAAGCUGACCACCUAGGUAUAAAAGGAAAGACAAAAAUUGUGAUACCAGAAGAGCAUGAAGAAGAUGAGGAAGAGGAAGAAGAAGAGGAAGAAGAGGAAGAUGAAGAGGAAGAUGAAGACGAUGCUUGGAUCGACGAGACAGAGG
rnacentral:lncRNA from 1 species